rnacentral:rRNA from 1 species
UACGUAGGGUGCAAGCGUUAAUCGGAAUUACUGGGCCUAAAGCGUGCGUAGACGGUUUCGUAAGUCGGGUGUGAAAUCCCCGGGCUCAACCUGGGAAUUGCAUUCGAAACUGCGAGGCUAGGGUACGGAAGAGGGAAGCGGAAUUUCUGGUGUAGCGGUGAAAUGCGUAGAUAUCAGAAGGAACAUCAGUGGCGAAAGCGGCUUCCUGGUCCAGUACCGACGUUCAGGCACGAAAGCGUGGGGAGCAAACAGG